CUACUACAUGGAUAUCUGUAGUAAUUCUAGAGCUAAUACAUGCCACUAUGCCCUGACCCUUCGGGGGACGGGUGGAUUUAUUAGAACAGAACCAACCGGUUGUGGUCUCGGCCGCAGCCGUCACAUUCUGUGAUGACUCUGGAUAACUUUACCGAUCGCAGUCGGCCUUGUGUCGGCGACGGAUCUUUCAAAUGUCUGCCCUAUCAAUUGACGAUGGUAGGUGACCUGCCUACCAUGGUGAUAACGGGUAACGGGGAAUCAGGGUUCGAUUCCGGAGAGGGAGCCUGAGAAACGGCUACCACUUCCAAGGAAGGCAGCAGGCGCGCAAAUUACCCAAUCCCGGCACGGGGAGGUAGUGACGAAAAAUACGGAUACGGGACUCAACAGAGGCUCCGUAAUUCGAAUGAGUACAAUUUAAAUCCUUUAACGAGGAUCAACUGGAGGGCAAGUCUGGUGCCAGCAGCCGCGGUAACUCCAGCUCCAGUAGCGUAUAUUAAAGUUGUUGCAGUUAAAAAGCUCGUAGUUGGAUCUGGGUCGCAUAGCCAUGUGCCGUCACUCGUGUUCCUGGUCCGACUGCGGUUGGGCUGGGUUUGUGAGUCGGUUUCAUGACUGUGCAGCCUUUCUGCCGUGUCUGUGUACACAGGUGCUGACGGUUCGUCCGUUGGCAUGCUUCCAGAUGCCCUUAACCGGGUGUC
rnacentral:rRNA from 1 species